rnacentral:lncRNA from 1 species
AUCUAUCUUGACUACUCAAUCACCACGUUUUAGACAUUAAUUUAUAAUAAAUUUUUAAUUUUAUAUAUAUAUAUAUAUAUAUACAGACAUUUCGUUUCAGAGUGUAUGAUAUAGAUGUUGGCUUAAAUGGAGUCAGCAUCCUGCCCUGUGGCGGGAGGUCAUGUGGGCCGAGUCAUGUUCGAAAUGGCGUGAGGCUGGAUUGGGUCGAGUCAUGUUCGAAGUGGCGUGAGGCCAGGUGGGCCAAGUCACAAUUGAAACCCGUAGGCGCUGUUUCUAUACUCUUUAAGUGAAUUGGUUGCGUAUUUCUAACAACUCGAGUUUUUUGGAUUAAUGAUUAGCGCUAAUAAUCCAACAAUAGAUGGAUGGAUGAAUGUAAAU